ACAAAAAAACCCAUUUCAGUUCGAUGCUGUGUUCUGAUAAGGAUUGUUGUACUGGAGUUUCUAAGCAGUUGAGGCAUUUCCUUUCCUGGAACUGUGUGGGACCAGCAAUCCACAUUCAGCAUUCUGGCCUGGUUUAUGUGCAGUUAUGGAGUAAGGCCAUAGCCUUUACCUGGCUCAUCUUCUGGAUUCCUUUUAACUCUGUGGGCCUCUGGCAGAGGUGCGGUGAAGGACAGGGCACUGAUGCCUGCUCAAUCAAAUGCAUUUAUGUGACCUCAGAACAGUUACCUAACUUUUCUUAAUCAAUCUUCAUUUCCUCAUCUGUAAAAUGGGGCUAUGUGAUAUCUACUUCAUAGCAGUACUGAGUAAAUGAAAUUUUAUUUAUGAAGUACUUGGCAGAUGCUUCAUAAUAUCAGGUUUUUCCUCUCUGAGGUGGUAAUCUCACAGUUUCAGAGCAGUAAUCAUUUGAAUCAUAUUAUGAUGAUGUCUAAUACAAUCAGAGAAAGAAUUAAAAAAUACAUGUAGAAUAGAGAAUUAGUCUAAUACAAUGAGGUAGAUAAUUAAAAUAUAUAUUUAAAUAUCUAUUUGUUUCACCUUUUACAGGAUGCAAAAUAACCUAAUUUUCCUAUCCUAGAUAGAUAUGCUUUAAAAAUAAUUGACUCGAUCAAAUUAGAUAGCUAUUUUGAUGUCCUGUAGACACAACUUGACUGUUGUUAUGUUGACCUAAUACUGUGAGAAGACUUCAGAAAUGCCCAAGGCCUAUAGGUGAUGGAAUAGUCAAAACAUGCCCUAUCCAACCAGUCUCCCAAAUUGCUACAUAGCCCCUUGAGACCCUGUGAAUCAUAGUUUAUAAACAACUAUUCAUAGAUACAGGCAUUCCCCUAGGGUAUUAUUUGUGUGGGGCUGCUAAAGAACAACUUUAAUUUUUUUCUUUUUCUUUCUUUUUUUGCUUUGCUAAGUAUUAACCUGGCUCACAGAAAUGGAGAAGGGGGAGAGAAGAAUCCAUUUAGGUAGAGAGGCUAAAAAGGCCCUUUGUAUAGAGAGGAUGGCAAAGAAAAGUCCCUAAGGAACAAGGACUAUGUGGUCCUACGUUCCUCCAUAAUCCAAGUGCCAAGGCUUGAUGUCAAGAAUAAAUGAUCCUGGUUGAUGAAGAGCAACCUGCCACUUCUUGGCUUUAUGAUACUUCCUAAAAUGGAUUUCAGGAUCUAAGAUCAGAAAACUAUGUUACUACCUCUCAAAUCCGCUCAGGUAUUAGCAGUGUAGUGCCUAUAACAGGAAAUGCCUAUUUUCACACUGAAAUUCUUUAAUUUGAUAAAAACAUUUUCAUUUUAUCCAUUUUUAGAAAAGCAGCCAGUGAACAUUUUUAAUUUUCCACAGUUGGCUUAUAGUGAAAUAGAUUUCUCAGCCUUAAUCUAGAUGAAAUAACAUUAAGUGUCUACUUUGUAUCAAUCCAUUUUCUCUACCUCAAACAUGAACAAAAAUUCUUUCAAUAAUUCAUCAGUAGAACUCAUUAGUUCCUUGAAUUGAGUACCUGCUGGACUCUGGGGAUGCCAAGAUGACUAUGACAGGGAGGCUGCCCUGGAGGAGCUCAUUUUUAGUUAGGGAGGAUACUGGAGAGAGGGGGACCAGAUUUGGAGACAAUGAUGAUAAAAAUGACAAUAAAAGUAUGUACAAAGGUUAAGAUAACACAAAAGCUAGAAUGGCCAACCUAGGAGCUUUCCAAAAAGGCUUCCAUAGAAGAGGUGAAGUUUUAGUUUAAUCUCAAAGAGUGAGAGUUUACCAGUCAGGAAAAGGAGACCUUGAAGAUCUUUGCGAAGAAAAGCAAAGGAACAGAGUUUAGAACCAAAUGCGUUUGGGGACUAGCAGGAAGCUCCAGGUAGUUAGGGUAAGGAGUGAAUGUGGGGAGAUAAUAGGAGAAAAGAAACAAGAAACAAAGGGUGAAGCAUUCCAUAGAAUAGUAGCAGGAGCCACAGGCUCUAAGAUGUGUUGUCAAGGGAACACUGUUGACAGUGAGGAUGGGCUGGAGUGAGAUGAGAGACUAGUUAGGAGUAGUCCAGGCACUUUACUUUGUAUCAGCGAUUUCACUUUAUGCUUCCAACAAUCCAGUCUCCAUUUUGAAGAUGAAGAAUCGAGAAUCCAAAGCCUAAAAAUUUACCCAAAGUCACGUAGCUGCUAAAUUGGCAAAAGUGCUAUUUGUUUCCAGCCUGAAUUGUGCUCUUUCCUAAACUUUCCAACACUUGAAAAUCAUCAUAUAAGUUGAUAAAGAGAAACUGUGAUAUAAGAGAUACCCCAUUACAAUAAGCUGUAUACUUCUUGAAUGGCAGGGAUUGAAUCUUCGUUAUCUUUCUAUGCCCAGCACCCACCAUGCCGCCAGAAGUGUUCUGUUCCUCAAACACCAAUAGUUAGUUGACUAUUAAUUUCUCCUGAGGUGGUGAGGGGACAGAAGGCAGCAAGAAGAGCAGUGGAGAAUCUACAACCAGUUUGCAAUGCUGAUGUGGUCAAGGAACUCAGAUGUCAAAGACUUUCAUGGUUAUCACUUUAUUAUAAUUAAUUCUUUUGGAUUUUUGGAAAGAUUAAAAUAAUUUACAUGAUAAUGUUUCUUUAUCAAACUCACCUUGUUAAUCUACUUCGUGGAGGAAAACCAUAGUCUCACUAAAAGUUAAUAAAUUCUUAGACUGAAAAUUGGAGUGUGUGUAAUGUUUGUAACAUUUGGC